UCUGGGCCUUCAUCGAAGCCACAAUAUAGUCUUUUAAAUAUUGUGGUCAAAAUGUGGCCAAAAGCAAAAUCCUUUCUUUGGUCACUGAUUAAGUUACUAAAUAUCUCUUCAGUAUUACCCAGAAUGGAUACAACA
rfam:Nasonia vitripennis chromosome 2, whole genome shotgun sequence.